rnacentral:tRNA from 1 species
AAUAAAGUGCCUGAUAAAAGGAUUAUUCUGAUAGGAUAAAUAAUGUAACUAUAAUUUACCUUUAUUA